AACGCUAGCUACAGGCUUAACACAUGCAAGUCGAGGGGAAACGAUAGAGAAAGCUUGCUUUUUCUAGGCGUCGACCGGCGCACGGGUGAGUAACGCGUAUCCAACCUGCCCAUCACUUGGGGAUAACCUUGCGAAAGUAAGACUAAUACCCAAUGACGUCCAUAGAAGACAUCUGAAAUGGAUUAAAGAUUUAUCGGUGAUGGAUGGGGAUGCGUCUGAUUAGCUUGUUGGCGGGGUAACGGCCCACCAAGGCGACGAUCAGUAGGGGUUCUGAGAGGAAGGUCCCCCACAUUGGAACUGAGACACGGUCCAAACUCCUACGGGAGGCAGCAGUGAGGAAUAUUGGUCAAUGGGCGAGAGCCUGAACCAGCCAAGUAGCGUGCAGGAUGACGGCCCUAUGGGUUGUAAACUGCUUUUAUAAGGGAAUAAAGUGGGAGUCGUGACUCCUUUUGCAUGUACCUUAUGAAUAAGGACCGGCUAAUUCCGUGCCAGCAGCCGCGGUAAUACGGAAGGUCCGGGCGUUAUCCGGAUUUAUUGGGUUUAAAGGGAGCGUAGGCCGGAGAUUAAGCGUGUUGUGAAAUGUAGACGCUCAACGUCUGCACUGCAGCGCGAACUGGUUUCCUUGAGUACGCACAAAGUGGGCGGAAUUCGUGGUGUAGCGGUGAAAUGCUUAGAUAUCACGAAGAACUCCGAUUG
rnacentral:rRNA from 1 species